rnacentral:rRNA from 1 species
CCUACGGGUGGCAGCAGUGAGGAAUAUUGGUCAAUGGACGAGAGUCUGAACCAGCAAAGUAGCGUGAAGGAUGACUGCCCUAUGGGUUGUAAACUUCUUUUAUAUGGGAAUAAAAUGUUCCACGUGUGGGCUUUUGUAUGUACCAUAUGAAUAAUGAUCGGCUAACUCCGUGCCAGCAGCCGCGGUAAUACGGAGGAUCCGAGCGUUAUCCGGAUUUAUUGGGUUUAAAGGGAGCGUAGGUGGAUUGUUAAGUCAGUUGUGAAAGUUUGCGGCUCAACCGUAAAAUUGCAGUUGAAACUGGCAGUCUUGAGUACAGUAGAGGUGGGCGGAAUUCGUGGUGUAGCGGUGAAAUGCUUAGAUAUCACGAAGAACUCCGAUUGCGAAGGCAGCUCACUGGACUGCAACUGACACUGAGGCUCGAAAGUGUGGGUAUCAAACAGGAUUAGAUACCCUAGUAGUC